UCCGAAUGGGGAAACCCACUGCUUCGGCAGUAUCCUGCAGUGAAUUCAUAGCUGCUGGAAGCGAACCCGGUGAACUGAAAUAUCUAAGUAACCGGAGGAAAAGAAAUCAACCGAGAUUCCCUAAGUAGUGACGAGCGAACGGGGAACAGCCCUUAAGCUGGAAUGGCUUUAGAAAAACAAUCUGGAAAGAUUGGCCAUAGAAGGUGAUAGCCCUGUAUUUAAAAGGGCCACUCCAGUGAAGACGAGUAGGGCGGGGCACGUGAAACCCUGUCUGAAUAUGGGGGGACCAUCCUCCAAGGCUAAAUACUCCUGACCGACCGAUAGUGAACCAGUACCGUGAGGGAAAGGCGAAAAGAACCCCGGAGAGGGGAGUGAAAUAGAUCCUGAAACCGUGUGCGUACAAGCAGUAGGAGCUCGCAAGAGUGACUGCGUACCUUUUGUAUAAUGGGUCAGCGACUUACUGUUCGUGGCAAGCUUAACCGUAUAGGGGAGGCGAAGGGAAACCGAGUCUGAUAAGGGCGCAUAGUCGCGGGCAGUAGACCCGAAACCGGGUGAUCUAGUCAUGGCCAGGGUGAAGGUGCCGUAACAGGUACUGGAGGCCCGAACCCACGUCUGUUGCAAAAGACGGGGAUGAGCUGUGAUUAGGAGUGAAAAGCUAAUCGAACCCGGAGAUAGCUGGUUCUCCUCGAAAGCUAUUUAGGUAGCGCCUCGGACGAAUACUACUGGGGGUAGAGCACUGUUAUGGCUAGGGGGUCAUCGCGACUUACCAAACCAUUGCAAACUCCGAAUACCAGUACGUACUAUCCGGGAGACACACGGCGGGUGCUAACGUCCGUCGUGAAAAGGGAAACAACCCAGACCCACAGCUAAGGUCCCAAAUUCACUGCUAAGUGGAAAACGAUGUGGAAAGGCACAGACAGCCAGGAGGUUGGCUUAGAAGCAGCCACCCUUUAAAGAAAGCGUAAUAGCUCACUGGUCGAGUCGGUCUGCGCGGAAGAUUUAACGGGGCUAAGCAGUGAACCGAAGCUUGGGGUGCAUAAAACUUGUUUUAUGCGCGGUAGAGGAGCGUUCCGUAAGCCUGCGAAGGUGGAUUGAGAAGUCCGCUGGAGGUAUCGGAAGUGCGAAUGCUGACAUGAGUAACGAUAAUGCGGGUGAAAAGCCCGCACGCCGAAAGCCCAAGGUUUCCUUGCGCAACGUUAAUCGACGCAGGGUUAGUCGGUCCCUAAGGCGAGGGCGAAAGCCGUAGUCGAUGGGAAGCAGGUUAAUAUUCCUGCACCUCGCGUGAGUGCGAUGGAGGGACGGAGAAGGUUAGGUGUACCGGGCGUUGGUUGUCCCGGGGAAAGGCGGUAGGUUUGGAUCUUUGGCAAAUCCGGGAUCCUUUAAGACCGAGCACCGAGACGAGCCUUUAUGGCGAAGUCACUGAUACCACGCUUCCAGGAAAAGCUCCUAAGCUUCAGCUCACGAAGACCGUACCGUAAACCGACACAGGUGGGUAGGAUGAGAAUUCUCAGGCGCUUGAGAGAACUCGGGUGAAGGAACUAGGCAACAUGGCACCGUAACUUCGGGAGAAGGUGCACCCUUUUUGGUGGCUCAUGCGAGCUAUAGCUGAAGAGGGUCGCAGAAACCAGGCCGCUGCGACUGUUUAUCAAAAACACAGCACUCUGCAAACACGAAAGUGGACGUAUAGGGUGUGACGCCUGCCCGGUGCUGGAAGGUUAAUUGAUGGGGUCAGCCGCAAGGCGAAGCUCUUGAUCGAAGCCCCAGUAAACGGCGGCCGUAACUAUAACGGUCCUAAGGUAGCGAAAUUCCUUGUCGGGUAAGUUCCGACCUGCACGAAUGGCGUAACGACAGCGGCGCUGUCUCCACCCGAGACUCAGUGAAAUUGAAAUCGCUGUGAAGAUGCAGCGUUCCCGUGGCAAGACGGAAAGACCCCGUGAACCUUUACUAUAGCUUUACACUGAACGUUGAGUUCGUCUGUGUAGGAUAGGUGGGAGGCUAUGAAACUGUGGCGCUAGCUGCAGUGGAGCCAUCCUUGAAAUACCACCCUGUCGUGCUUGACGUUCUAACCUAGAUCCGUUAUCCGGAUCAGGGACCGUGUAUGGUGGGUAGUUUGACUGGGGCGGUCUCCUCCUAAAGAGUAACGGAGGAGCACGAAGGUACGCUCAGCGCGGUCGGACAUCGCGCACUGUGUGCAAAGGCAUAAGCGUGCUUGACUGCAAGAUCGACGGAUCAAGCAGGUACGAAAGUAGGUCUUAGUGAUCCGGUGGUUCUGUAUGGAAGGGCCAUCGCUCAACGGAUAAAAGGUACUCCGGGGAUAACAGGCUGAUACCGCCCAAGAGUUCAUAUCGACGGCGGUGUUUGGCACCUCGAUGUCGGCUCAUCACAUCCUGGGGCUGUAGUCGGUCCCAAGGGUAUGGCUGUUCGCCAUUUAAAGUGGUACGCGAGCUGGGUUCAGAACGUCGUGAGACAGUUCGGUCCCUAUCUGCCAUGGGCGUUGGAAGUUUGAGAGGGGCUGCUCCUAGUACGAGAGGACCGGAGUGGACGAACCUCUGGUGUUCCGGUUGUCACGCCAGUGGCAUUGCCGGGUAGCUAUGUUCGGAAGCGAUAACCGCUGAAAGCAUCUAAGCGGGAAGCGCGCCUCAAGAUGAGACUUCCCGGGGCACAAGCCCCCUAAAGGAACCAUAUAGACUAUGUGGUUGAUAGGUCAGGUGUGU
rnacentral:rRNA from 1 species